GUAACGACUUCCCCGCUGUCUCCAACAUAGACUCAGUGAAAUUGAAUUCCCCGUGAAGAUGCGGGGUUCCUGCGGUCAGACGGAAAGACCCCGUGCACCUUUACUAUAGCUUCACACUGGCAUUCGCCAAGGCAUGUGUAGGAUAGGUGGUAGGCUUUGAAACUCUCACGCCAGUGGGGGUGGAGCCAUCCUUGAAAUACCAC
rnacentral:rRNA from 12 species